UACGGAGGGUGCGAGCGUUGUCCGGAAUCAUUGGGCGUAAAGGGCGCGUAGGUGGCCCGGUCAGCGUGCGGUGAAAGCUCGGGGCUCGACCCCGAGUCGGCCGUGCGAACUGCUGGGCUUGAGCACUGUAGAGGCAGGCGGAAUUCCGGGUGUAGCGGUGGAAUGCGUAGAGAUCCGGAAGAACACCGGUGGCGAAGGCGGCCUGCUGGGCAGUGGCUGACACUGAGGCGCGACAGCGUGGGGAGCAAACAGG
rnacentral:rRNA from 1 species